rnacentral:rRNA from 1 species
CCUACGGGGGGCUGCAGUGGGGAAUAUUGCACAAUGGGGGAAACCCUGAUGCAGCGACGCCGCGUGAGUGAAGAAGGCAUUCGGGAUGUAAAGCUCUAUCAGCAGGGAAGAAAAUGACGGUACAUGAGUAAGAAGCCCCGGCUAACUCCGUGCCAGCAGCCGCGGUAAAACGUAGGGGGCAAGAGUUAUCCGGAUUUACUGGGUGUAAAGGGGGCGUAGACGGCAGUGCAAGUCUGGAGUGAAAGGCGGGGGCUCAAUCCCCGGACUGCUCUUGAAACUGUACGGCUGGAGUGCAGGAGAGGUCAGUGGAAUUCCUAGUGUAGCGGUGAAAUGCGUAGAUAUUAGGAGGAACACCAGUGGCGAAGGCGGCUUACUGGACUGUAACUGACGUUGAGGCUCGAAAGCGUGGGGAGCAAACAGGAUUAGAUACCCCUGUAGUC